GAGGAGGAGACGCUGGAUACUAUCAAGCAGUACUAUGUGUUGUGCAACAGCAAGGAGGAAAAGUUUGAAGCCCUGUGCAACAUCUAUGGCGCCAUCACCAUAGCCCAGGCUAUGAUUUUCUGCCAUGUGAGGCACUUCCCUUCACCCAGCACUUUCCGAUUGAUAAUUAUAAAUGGCAUCACAUUUUCCUGAGAAAUGUUCCAGAGUUUAUUAAGAACGUCACAAGACUGGCGUCGCAUAAAUUCAUUAUGUUCCUUGAGUGUCUGGCUGGUAUAUGAACUGGUGACUCUGCUUUCCUUCAUGCGAUCCAGACAAGGAAGACCGCAGGCUGGCUGGCGGGAGAGCUUUCCAAAGAGAACCACCAGGUGGCGCUGCUUAGCGGGGAGAUGCAAGUAGAGCAGAAGGCAGCUGUCAUUGAACGCUUCCGGAAUGGAAAGGAGAAGGUGCUUGUCACCACAAAUGUCUGUGCCAGAGGUGAGGGACCCAUGCAAGAUAAUUAUGAAAUAUGUAGAUAUUUAACAAUUAUUUAGUCUUCCACUUCUCCCUAUCAAUUGCUUUUGUAAUAUUGUUUUAACAUGUAUUCUGACUGUCAACACCCUGUAUGCUAUUAGAGAAGAUACCGUAUGUAUUCUUCAUACAUUGAAAAUAUUAACGUCAAUUUCCCCUAUCACCUCUCGCCUUUUUUUUUCUUUUUUUUCUGUCCACCAGGAAUUGAUGUGGAGCAGGUAUCGGUGGUGAUCAAUUUUGACCUGCCUGUAGACCAGGAGGGUAACCCAGACAACGAGACCUACCUUCAUAGGAUUGGCCGCACGGGUCGGUUCGGCAAAAGGGGGCUGGCCAUCAACAUGGUGGACAGCAGAAUGAGUAUGAACAUUCUCAACAGGAUCCAGGAGCAUUUUAAUAAGAAAAUUGAAAAACUCGACACACACGAUCUGGAUGAAAUUGAGAAAAUCGCCAACUGAAAGACAAGUGUGCUGACAAAGUGGACGCCAGCUAGACUUGCGCUCUGCAAAGACUGUAUGCUUCUUUAUGCUGGCUUUUUAAGUUUGUAUUUUAAGCCGUUAGGGUGGAGGGGGUAAAACCACAUAUACUGCACGUUUACAUACACUUCAGUCUGUGGAACAUACCCUAUUUCACUCUUUUUACUAUAAUAUUUUAUUUUGUAAUGCUGAAAAAGCUUAACUGUCAAGUAACUCUUAAAACCCCAUUUGACUCUGCUUUUCAUACAUAUAUGAACAUUUUUCAUGAAUGUAUCCUCUUUAGGUCAUUACAACAUUGACAGUGUGUGGAAAGGGUGAAGUUGGGUAUACUGCUGCUCUGAGUGCAGGGGUGUCAUUUUGGGUGAUGACUGAUGGAUGGAUUUUAGGGUCUAUGCAAAUUUAGAGUAUACUCACAUGAAAGAAAUGAAAUUAACCUCAAUUUAUCUUCAGGGUGCGUAGCCAAAUGCCAAAAUGGAGAUGACCUACUAAUAACUCCUCAACAUUUUAGAUCAUUCUGGAGUAAAGCCCAGUCACGCGUCCCUCACAAUUUUAUUUAUAGAGUAUUAAGACUACUCAGCUGUAACAUGUAGUUGUUUUUAAACAUUUUUUGCCUACCUAUUCCACAACUUCCCACUUACCACAAACUUCACAUCUUUUAUUUUGAAAUUCAACCAAAAUUCUCUAAAAUUUCGUUUUUCUACUCUAAUUUCCACAUUUUUCAACCGAUUCAACCCAUUCCAACUUUCAAGUGUUCAUCUUUUGCCUACCUGUUCCACAUAUUCCCACUUACCAAAAAUUCCAAAUUUUCAAAUUUGAAAUUCAACCAAAUUCUCCAAAAUUUCGUUUUUCUACUCUAAUUUCUACAUUUUUCAACCGAUUCAACCCAUUCCAAAUGUAUUCACUUAAUUCACCUUAUGCUUCCCACAUUCACUCCCAUUCACCCCCACUUCCACUAUGCUUACACAAUUCAACCCUUGACCCCCAAUUCCAGUGUGGCGGCCAUCUUGGAUGACCCUGGAGUGCCACCAAUGAACCCAGAAUGAACCGGAAGUGCCCUAAAUCAAACCGAAAGUGACCCCAAAUAGACCGGAAGUGACCCCAAAUCAAACCGGAAGUGACCCCAAAUGUACCAGAAAUGACCUUUUUAGACCGGAAAUGACCCCAAAUAAACCGGAAGUGACCUCAGACGAACCGGAAGUGACCCAAAUUAAACCGAAAGUGACCUAAAUAAACCGAAAGUGACCCCUAAUAGACCGGAAGUGACCUCAGGUGAACCGAAAGUGACCCCAAAUGAACCGAAAGUGAACUUUUUUGACCGGAAGUGACCCCGAAUAAACCGGAAGUGACCUCAGCUAAACCGGAAGUGACCUGUAGUAAACCGGAAGUGUCCCAAAUAAACCGGAAGUGACCCAAAUUAGACCGAAAAUGACCCGAAUCAAGCCGGAAGUGAACUUAUUUCAACACUAAGUGCCCCAAAUAGCUACAUUUGCGCUAGGGUUUUCGGUUUUUGUCCGAUUUAACCCGUUUCAACAUUUUUACCCCAAAAGUGAACCUCCUGAGGCCGUUUUUUUUGUUUUGUUCCAAAUUUAGAAAGAUUUUGGCGCAAUUGCUUUUUUUUAUUUUCCCAUUCAUUCUCUCUAGAGGGAUUCAACAUUUGCUCUAACUUCUACAUUUUUUAACUGAUUCAACCCGUUCCAACUUUCCAACACGUGUGCAUGCACAAACACACACCCAGACACAUUAGAGCAGCAGGAACGGAGAGAAAGUAUUUGCACUGUUUGUGCUUGUGUGAAUGUGCUUGUGAGGACAUUGUUGUAUUUUCUGCGGUUAAUUAUUAUUAUGUGGGGACAAGCAGUACAGAAAAUGGAUGGAUGGAUGGAUAAUUAUGAUAUAAGUAUUAUCAUUAUAAAGUUACAUUGAUACUGCCUUGACAGUGUCCAUGAAAACAUUAUCAAACAUUAACUAGAAUUUGCAAUUCCUGAAGGAAUUGCGUGUGAAGGUGAAGAAGUUGAAUAAAUAUUUAAGGAAUGUUGCAGAAUGAUGUUGAAACGAGUUGAAUUGGUUGAAAAAUGUAGAAAUGAGAAGGGAAAAAGGAAAUAUUGUAGAAUCGGGUGUGAAUUUCAAAAUAAAAGAUGUGAAUUAUUUGGUAAGUUGUGGAAUAGGUAGAAAUAUGAUGAACAGUUGAAAGUUGGAAUGGGUUGAAUCGGUUGAAAAAUGUAGAAAUGAGAAGGGAAAAAGGAAUUGGGCGUGAAUUUCAAAAUAAAAGAUGUGAAAAAGGAAAUGUAGGAAAAUUGGGUGUGAAUUUCAUACUAGAAAAAGUGAAAAUGCAGGUAAGUGGGAAGUUGUGGAAUAGGUAGGAAAAUGAUGAACAGUUGAAAGUUGGAAUGGGUUGAAUGAGUUGGAAAAUGUAGAAAUGAGAGUAGAAAAACCAAAAUUUGGAGAAUUUUGUUGAAUUUCAAUUUUAAUUUGAACAAUGCAUUCAAUUAUGCAUCAACAUUCAUUCCUUCAUGCAUUCAUGCAUUCAUUCAUACAUUCAUUCAAGCAUUCAUCCAUGCAUUCAUUCACGCACUCAAUUUUUAUCACGUCACCCUGCACACGCGUGACAGUGAUGGCCAGCCCAUCUUGUGGUAUCUUCGGGGGCUGGCUGAAAGUUUUCUGCCAGAUCUGAAGCUUGAUGCUUGUAACUUCGCCCGAAUUGGACACGACCUCCACCACCUCUUCCCCAUAGAGGAUACCACAGACUGUUAGGGUGAGGCUGGAGUUGCAGGGCUGUUGAAUAAAAAAAGAAUAUCUAAUUAGUUUUUAUGAAUGGAAAACAAAGUUUACCAAAGGCUAAUCAUGCCUCCAAAUAAAGCAAGUGGGAGCAGUAAAGCCAUCCUAGAACACAAAGACGUUAUUAAAGCCACGCGACAGUGAGCGCCCGGCGCGCUGCGGGCGGUUGCGCGAUGGGACCAAAUUAAGCUCCCUGCGCACUGAGGUACACUUCAAUUUUGGAAAGUACAUUAGGACGGUACAAAUAUUUUCAAAAUUUCAGCGACAGCUCUGUCACAAUAAUGCGACCAGCGCGGAGCAGUUGCGCGGUCGGCAGCGCGCUACGGUUGAACGCUGGGCGGAACGCUGCAAUUGCGCGAUGGGACAAAAAUGAAGAAAUGAAGAAAAAAAAAUUGAAGAAAAGGAUUUAUUUAGUCUUGGAACGGAUUAAUUUGUUUUCCAUUGUUUGUAAUGAGAAAAAUAGAUUGGGAACCUUAACCCAGUUAAUCUUGGAAAAGGGGAUAAUAAGCAAAAAGCAAGCACCAUUUAAAUUCCACUGCUAUGAAGCCAUUUACUAACCUUUAUUUCUGUGCAAGUUGUAGAGUGGAGCAUUAGUCCCGAAUCGUUCACCCGGGCACUCAGGUGGGUGAAAAUGAAGGAACCCCCUACUUUUAGUUCAAUGAGAUUAGCCUCACGCCAAAGGCCAAUUUUGACAGCGGCUUCAUCCUGCGUUAGUUUAAAAAAGAGUAUGUGUGCAAAGUGCUACAACAGGGGAAGUACAAAUGGCUACUUACUUUUUUUAGUGUCAAAGUCCGAAAUGGCGCAAGGCUGUUCCCUCUCUGGCGCACCAUGCGGAUUGGACGCAUCUGAAGUGGAGCAAAUUGAGAUGACAAAAAAAAAUAAAACUUUUGGUACCUUAGUACUAAACAGAGCAUUUCAAAGAUAUUGUGUGUGUGUGUUUGUGUGUGUGUGUCGGUGGGUACAUUACAUGUACAUUAUUGCACAUGCAUCAUGUCUUCACAGGUGUACACAAAGACAUGUGUGUAUAUGUGCAUUUGCGGGUGCAGGUGACUUACAUCGGUUAUUACGCCCUCCAGUGACACCAUCUCCUCAGGUAGUUUAUUCACUACCUCCUGAGGAGAUGAUGCCACUGACUUGGGGUAGACCAGGGCCCUGGCCUCUUCUUCCAGCUGCGGGCUGGUUUGCACCUCGGCCGCCAUGAAUAUUUUUGAGCCGGGUUUGGUGAGGAGCCCUUGGCCACUCUCGUCCACACCAAAGUUUAAAAAAAUGUAACUGCUGCCAAGUGUUCAAACAGAACAAUUUUAUAGGCUUUCUCGUCGUCACAGAGGGCAACAGUUACAUUAUUGUGCUGGCCGUGCAUGGACAAGGUGCCAUCAGCUGCACAAAUCCAUGUUUUUGCACGCAGAGCAGUCCUCAUCGCGACUACUUUAGCGCGGAUCAUGUUUUUCGCCAUUCUGAAAAAGAAAAAAAAGAGAGAAAUUGACUUGUUUAGUUAGUAGAUGACAAAUGGCAAAUUAUUCAUAGAAUAAUUACUAUUAUAAUACAUCUGACUGACUUUGGGAUUAUUUUAUUAGCGACACAACAUAUCAUUACCAUAUUCAAAUUGGAUAAAAAUAAAUGGAUACCACGUAUAAUAAAAAAACACACAAUUAUUUAAAUGUUAGACUGAAAAGAGUUUCCCAGCAAUGAUUUUUAACAUCCACCAGAUGGCAGUGCAGUGACAAAGUCAAUAGUUCAUGGGUAUGUAGCAUUUCAAGACUGCUACAAAUUAACACUGGGCAAUGAUUCAAUACUACUGAUCUUACUCGGUCAGUACAUAUCAGUGCUUACAGUUACAAUGUCAUCUGCUAUAUAAAUUUGGAAGCACAUUUUAUAAUGGCGCCUGUGCGGUUUUUGAGGGGGGCUAACCUAAAACAAAGAUUUUAAUAAAAGAACACCGUAAACCAUUUUUAUCCAUUUACGUGUGGCGACUACGAGGUGUCGUCUGAAAUAAAUGAAUUACGCGUCGUGUAUCUUUCCAGAAAUGUCGUUACUCCGUAACGCAAAGUGCAAGCAUCGUGCGUCCAUCUUGUUAGAUGGCAAAUGCACACGGCGGACGAUAGUGUAUAAUACUUAAACGCAAGAGCAAUAAAAUGGGGAAUCCUCCGUCAUAAAUAGGAACGCAGAACAAACAUGUAUUUUCGACUGACUAGUUAAUUAAUAAUUACAAGUUAAUUUGCUAUAUGCGCAUUUCGUAAUGGCGGCUUUUUUUUUUUUUUUUGCUCGACGCAAACCAAAGAUGUGGAUGCCUCGGUCACGAAUAAUGUUCACGUUCAUCAACCGAUGGAAUUAAUCCAUACUAAAUUCACGGAGAAACAACUCCGCAAAAGUCCGUCGUGAGAACAGGAGACUAUUUUUAUCUAUAUGUACAGUUAAUGAGUAAUAACAUGUAAUAGUACAGUAAUAGAACUGUGACGAUGGUAAUUAGAAGUGGGGAAGUGCUACUUUCCCCACUAACGCAACAAUCCUGGUUUCGUUUCGUUUAUUUAUUUCAAACAUGUAAAAAAAGAAGAAUAAGCUUAUUGUACACAAUAAAGGACAUGACAAAAUACAUGCAUAUCCACAUACAGACGUACCAACAUUCAUACAUAUACAUAUAGCCGCAAAAGAACCAUAAGUCACAUUCACAUGUCUGAAAAGGAGUAGGAAGAAGUAUAAUUUAUUUAAUCCCACCCCCUAUUUAAUAAUCCCUAAAUACCCAGCCAUAAAUCAUUUUGCCUCAGUUAUCCCAACAAAGUACUAAAUUACUAAAUUAUCCCCCACCUGCUGCUCACUAGACACUAAACAUGUACCAACACACUAUUAAUACGUGCGUAUAUUUCACACACAGACACUUAACAUUCAUUCAUACCUCAAAUACAACACAAAUACCUGAAUGGUAGAAAUAAACCAAAUAAAAACAAAAUAAAAACAGCCUGAACAAGACAAACAGACAAACAAAACCAACAAAGAAACGUAAAUCAAUAAUUACUAAUCACCCCUUAGUACUCAUACACCCUCAUUCCUGUACCUUGUAAAAAUAAUUUCUUCUUUAUAUCUUUUUUUAAACUGAUAGAUGUUUGAACAUUCCCUGAGCGUUUCCUCCAAAGUAUUCCAUAAUUUAACUCCACAUAUUGCAAUACAGAAUGUUCUUUUUGUUGUACGUGCCUUCCUAAUCCUGUAAUUAAAUGUCCCCCUUAAUUUAUAACCCCCUUCCCUCCCAAUGAAAAGAUUCUGAAUAUUAGUUGGCAACAGAUUAUUUUUUGCUUUAAAAAGUAUUUGUGCUGUCCGAAAUUCCACUAUAUCUUUGAGUUUGAUGAGUUUUGACUUUAAGAAUAAUGAAUUUGUAUGAUCCCUGUAUCCUGCCCCAUGAAUGAUCCGUAUUGCUUUUUUUUGUAAAAUAAUAAGUGGAUAUAUUGUGCUUAUAUAAUUAUUACCCCAGAUUUCUACACAAUACAUAAAAUAUGGAAGGACUAAUGUAUUAUAAAGGAUGCGAAGUGUUGUAUGAUCCAGAACCUGUUUUGCUCUAUUUAAUACUGCGAUGCACCUUGAGAUUUUAGUUUGUACAUGUUUAACUUGUGAUUUCCAACUGAUCUUAUCAUCUAUUAUCACCCCUAAAAAUUUAAUCUCAUUCACUCUUUCAAUAUUAACCCCAUCCAGCUUUAUCUCUAUUUUCAAAUUAGUUCUGUGAUUACCAAAAAGUAUUACUCUUGUUUUGCUUAGGUUUAAGGAUAAUUUAUUGCUGUCCAACCAUACCUUUAAUUUGCUUAAUUCAUUAUUUAUUAGUGUUGUUAAGGUGUGUAAAUCACUACCAAAACAAAAAAUAUUUGUAUCAUCUGCAAACAAAACCAUCUUCAAAUUAUGUGAUACCUUGCAUAUAUCAUUUAUAUAUAAUAAAAAAAGUUUAGGGCCCAACACUGACCCCUGAGGGACGCCACAACUAAUGUCCAAACACGUUGAACAAGUGUCACCCAACUUCACAAACUGUUUCCUUUUUGUUAAAUAGCUCUUGAUCCAAGCUAAUGGUUCCCCCCUGAUGCCAUACCGAUGUAAUUUAUUGAAUAAUAUUUCAUGAUUUAUUGUGUCAAAUGCCUUUCUUAGAUCAAUGAAUAUCCCAACUGUAUAUUGUUUUAGGUCUAUUGCUUUAGUAAUUUCCUCCACUGUGUCAAUUAUUGCCAGUGAUGUUGCUCUGUUGGAUCUAAACCCAUAUUGACUGUCAGUGAGUAUUUUAUGUUUAUCUAUAAAUUUGUCCAGUCGGUUAUUGAAAAGUUUUUCCAGUAUUUUAGAAAAUUGUGAUAAUAAUGAUACAGGUCUGUAGUUUGUGAAGUGGUGUUUGUUCCCGGUUUUAUACAAAGGUAUGAUUUUUGCUAUUUUCAUUUUAUCUGGAAAUACACCGGUCUGAAAUGAUAGGUUACAGAUGUAUGUUAAUGGUUUAGAGACCCCCUCAAUUACUCGUUUUACGAUACUCAUGUAAAUGUCAUCACAGUCUUUGGAUGUCUUGUUUGUGCAUUGGAAAACUAUCUUUAUAAUUUCUUUCUCAUCCGCUGCUUUGAGGAACAUUGAGCUCAGAUUCCUAUCUAUUAAACUAUUACAUUGCUCCUCAGUUGUUACUGCAUCUGGGAUUUGUUUGGCCAGAUCAGGUCCCGUAUUUACAAAGAAUGCAUUGAAGUUUUCAGCCACUUCUUGCAUAUCAUGCUCAUCAGUAUUCCUGAUAGUAAAAUAUUUAGGAUAAUUAAUUUUUUUAGAGCCAUUUUUUAUUACAGUAUUCAUUAUAUUCCAUAUUUCUUUGGUGUUGUUUUUAUUAUCAUUUAUUAUCUUACUAUAGUAUUCUUUUCUAGCAGCUCUUUUAAUAUUAGUUAGUUUAUUCUUAUAUUGUUUAUAUUUAUUUUCUGCCACUUUAGUUCUUUGUCUUAUAAAUUCUCUGUAAAGUGUAUUUUUCUUUUUACAGGCAUUUUGUAAGCCCUUUGUAAUCCAGGGAUGAUCUACAUACUUUCGUUUCCUAUUAUAUACUUUUACAGGGCAGUAUUUGUCAUAUAACCUUUUGAAAAUUUUUAAGAAUUCCUCAUAUGCACAGUUAAUAUUAUUUUCAUUGUAUAUAAUAUCCCAAUUCUGUGACAUUAAACCAUUUUUAAAUGCGUUUAUUGUUUUUUCUGUUUUAAUUCUUCUGUAUUCUUGUUUUUUGGCCAGUUGGAUGGUUUUAUAGUUGUCAUCAAAAAUCAUAAAAACUGGCAAAUGGUCACUGAUGUCGCUGACUAAUAACCCACUUAUGGUGUUGUUUAAAAUGUCAUUUGUGAAUAUAUUAUCAAUAAGAGUGGCACAGUGAGAAGUUAUUCUGGUUGGUCUAGUGAUUUUUGGAUACAAGUUCAUGCUAUAUAUUGUGUUAACAAAGUGUUCGGUCAGUUUGUGCUUGUUUGGAUUGAGUAAAUCAAUGUUGAAGUCUCCACAGAUGAAAAUUGUUUUGCAACUGACCUUUGAAAAUACCUCCUCCAUCCAUUCUGUGAACAGUUCAAUGCUGGAACCUGGUGUCCGAUAUAUACAGCUAAUGAUUACAUUUUUCUUUUUUUCCUUAAGUAUUUCAAUUGUUAUGCAUUCCAAUAUGUUGUUAACUACCAUUGACAUAUCCUGUAUCACCCUGACGUUUAAUGUCUUUUCCACAUAUAUUGCAACUCCUCCUCCACCUUUGUUUUGUCGAUCUAUGUGUAUAAAGUCAUAUCCCUCCAGCUCAAAGUCCGCCUCUUUUACUGCGUUGAUCCAUGUUUCCGUUAUUGCAAUAAUGUUGAAUGGGCGAGUAAACUGAUGAAGAUAAUCCUUAAUGUUUGUAAAGUUGGCAUACAGACUCCUACUGUUAAUAUGUAUAAUAGACAGUCUACUAUCUGUAUUGAUUCUAUUAAAUUCCUCAUUAGUAUGAUAACUGCAGUUAUUGUUGAUUGAGUUAAAGAAGUUGUUAUCCGGGUCUAUAUCAUGUUCUAUAUCCAGUGAACUGUGAUCAGUGUAUUGAAAUGAUUGGAGUUCCAGUUUGUCGUGUUCACUAAUCCUCUGUGUUAUGUUACUGAUGUCUUCAGGUGUAGAUGCUUGAUUUCUUUCGAUGCGUGUCAUGGUUGUGAGUAGAGUUUACCUUACAGUCCUGCAUGAUGAUCAUUGGUAUCUAUCCAGCUCCUCGAUACUCCUUACCAUCAGCACUUUUGCUUCCUCCGGUGAUCCAUUGAGCUUGAUAAAUAUUUUACAGUUUGUAGUCCAGGUAUGUUGAAUUUUUUCUGCUUCCUCAGGUAGCGUGCUUUUUUGGCAAUAUCAGCGUUGUGCUUGGUCAGGUGCUCAUUGAUGUAGACGUCGGUUCCUCUCAGCUUUCUUCCUUGUUUUAAUACUGCAAUCUUGUGCUUUCUGUUGACAAACCGCAUGAUGACAGCGGGUUUGUCUCCGGGACUCCUCUUGGGCAGAGGGUGGCAAGCUUCGAUGUUGUCGCAGUCCAGCUGUAUCCCCUUGGACUGCAGGAAAGUAGCCACCUGUUGCUCCGUAGAGCUAACAUCCAGAUCGUCGGGCUCACCUCCCUCGCCAGCGGCCACUGCCCGGGCGUAUGAUCGGGCUUUGAUAUUAACUCCGGAGAUGAUCACGUCGUUGAUUCUGGUGUAUUGCUCCAGGUCAGCAACCCUGCUUUCCAGGAAGGUGAUUUUCUUUUCGUUCUCCUCAUUCCGACUGCGGAGAGCUUUGACCUCCUCGACCAGCUUGAGGAUAGCUUUCUGCUCCAUCCUGAUAACCGAGACUUCUUCAGUGAGGAAGUCCAACGCCUUUUUAAUAUCUUCGGUCUCCUCCACCGAAAAGAGGGGAACCGCUGACGCCUUCUUCGGACCCAUGUUUGGAACGCGCUUGUUGGUUUUUUUUAGCAAUGAAGCCGUGUGUUGUAGCUUUCGCGGCUAGUUGUGCACUUCCCCUCUGAAACAAGCGAUGCUGCUCCGGUGUACUCACAAGUCUUUCGCGCUUUGCCUUGCCGAUUUCAAGUCGGGCUUGAUAACUUUUCAGACAGUUUUGUCAGUGUUAGAAGAACGAAGGUUGUCGAUGAAACUGAUCUGUCAGUUGAACGAGCUGUCACUCCAACCUCGAGCUGAAACACACAGCACACCUGGCGAAACUCCCCUGGUUAAAAUGUCGGCGCGAAAGGUGUGUGCGAAGUCUGAAAAGGCAGGGUAAGUUUUAGUCGUAGCGUCAAAACUUUAUUACACACAGAAGAAAAACACUGAGAGCGGAACACAUCGCUCUAAAUUCGUGUGAAAUAUGAUUACACAAUUGAGUGAACAUGUGCAUGUUUAUAUUUACGUGAACUGAACGCUUUUAGAUCCCCCCCCCUUAAAACGUGAAAAAUGGUAGCGUCCACUUUAAGUAAAGACAGAAAAAGACGUCCCUGUAAAAUCACGCGAUACGUGACGAUACGAUUGAGUGGCGAUAUUUCAGUAUAUUUAAAAUAUGAUCAUGAUAGUAAUAAAAUAGCCUUACAGUAAUGGUAAUAACUAUAAUCGCCACGGUUUAUGAGGUUUCCGAUUUGUUUUCAAAGUAUUUCAAUGCAACGUGAUCAGUACAAUCGCGAAGAUAAAAUAAUGGACACUAUAUCAACUUAUAGAAUGUACAUACAAGACAACAUACAUACAAGACAACAUAACA